UACAUUUUUGCAGCCACUUUGUG
rnacentral:siRNA from 1 species